AUUGAACGCUGGCGGCAGGCCUAACACAUGCAAGUCGAACGAGUGGCGGACGGGUGAGUAAUGUCUGGGAAACUGCCCGAUGGAGGGGGAUAACUACUGGAAACAGUAGCUAAUACCGCAUACCAUCGGAUGUGCCCAGAUGGGAUUAGCUAGUAGGUGGGGUAACGGCUCACCUAGGCGACGCUCCCUAGCUGGUCUGAGAGGAUGCCCGGCCACACGGGAACUGAGGCACGGUCCAGACUCCUACGGGAAGAAGCAGUGGUGAAGAUUGAACAAGGGGCGCAAGCCGGAAGAAGCCAUGACGCGUGUAUGAAGAAGGCAUUCGGGUUGUAAAGUACUUUCAGCGAGGAGGCAUUACACGCAGAAGAAGCAUCGGCUAACUCCGUGUCAGCCGCGGUAAUAC
rnacentral:rRNA from 1 species